rnacentral:rRNA from 1 species
UACGUAGGCAGCAAGCGUUGUUCGGAUUUACUGGGCGUAAAGGGUGUGUAGGCGGUUUUUUAAGUUUGGUGUGAAAUCUCCCGGCUUAACCGGGAGGGUGCGGUGAAUACUGAGGGACUAGAGUACGGGAGAGGAAAGUGGAAUUCCUGGUGUAGCGGUGAAAUGCGUAGAUAUCAGGAGGAACACCGGUGGUGUAGACGGCUUUCUGGACCGACACUGACGCUGAGACACGAAAGCGUGGGUAGCAAACAGG